UUUUUAAUUUUCUUUUCAUAUUUCAUCAAAAACUAGUGUUUCGUUUUUUCAAAAUAAAAUCAAAAAACGAAAACAAUAAUAUUUCGUAAAUUCUUGUUGAAUAUAAAAAUGUUUAAACAUCGUUAUCUAACAGCUUAAGUUUUUAGAAUACAACGGUUGUUUCGUAUGGUAUUAGAGCAAGAGGUCCUGAGUUCAAGUCACACCAGCCUCCUAACAUAUUAGGGCCGAUUAAAAAGUCUCGAGCCCAGAAGUUAGGGGGAGUGUUAAAUAUAAAAAUAUUGUUUUACAAUUCUAGAAUUUUCUUUUUCCAAACACGCUAGUUUUCUUUUUUUUUUUAACAAAAAGGACAAAAAAUUGGAGAAGAAAAUUUUCAUGAAAAUCUUAUUUUCCAAAGAAUAUUCAUGCUUUUUCUAAAAACCAAACAACAUCUUAAACUUUUGAAUUACUAACAAUCAUCG
rnacentral:lncRNA from 1 species